AUUGAACGCUGGCGGAAUGCUUUACACAUGCAAGUCGAGCGGCAGCGCGGCCUUCGGGCUGGCGGCGAGCGGCGAACGGGUGAGUAAUGCAUCGGAACAUGCCCAGUCGUGGGGGAUAACACUUCGAAAGAAGUGCUAAUCCCGCAUACGUCCUGAGGGGGAAAGCGGGGGAUCGCAAGACCUCGCGCGAUUGGAGUGGCCGAUGUCAGAUUAGCUAGUUGGUGGGGUAAAGGCCUACCAAGGCGACGAUCUGUAGCUGGUCUGAGAGGAUGAUCAGCCACACUGGGACUGAGACACGGCCCAGACUCCUACGGGAGGCAGCAGUGGGGAAUUUUGGACAAUGGGGGCAACCCUGAUCCAGCAAUUCCGCGUGAGUGAAGAAGGCCUUCGGGUUGUAAAGCUCUUUCGGCAGGAACGAAACGGUGGGCUCUAACAUAGUCCGCUAAUGACGGUACCUGAAGAAGAAGCACCGGCUAACUACGUG
rnacentral:rRNA from 1 species